ACUCUUGUUAUUUUAUGUAAUCUGAGCGUCUUAUUUUAAUAAAUCAAAACUUUCACAACGGAUCUCUUGGUUCUGGCAUCGAUGAACAACGCAGCGAAAUGCGAUAAGUAAUGUGAAUUGCAGAAUUCAGUGAAUCAUCGAAUCUUUGAACGCACAUUGCGCCCAUUAGUAUUCUAGUGGGCAUGCCUGUUCGAGCGUCAUUUCAACCCUUAAGCCUAGCUUAGUGUUGGGAAUCUACUUCUUUAUAGUUGUAGUUCCUGAAAUACAACGGCGGAUUUGUAGUAUCCUCUGAGCGUAGUAAUUUUUUUCUCGCUUUUGUUAGGUGCUAUAACUCCCAGCCGCUAAACCCCCAAUUUUUUGUGGUUGACCUCGGAUCAAGUAGGAAUACCCGCUGAACUUAAGCAUAUCAAUAAGCGGAGGAA
rnacentral:rRNA from 1 species